UGACCACCAGUACUUCUAACAG
rnacentral:misc_RNA from 1 species